ensembl:lncRNA
CUUGAUUUUCUAGAUUCAUUUAUUCCUGUUAUCAUUCUUACUCCUUUCUACUUUUUGUCUCUUUUAAAGAUUGGUACCUGAGCUAACAUCUGUUGCCAGUCUUCUUCUUUUUUAUUUCCUCCUUCUUCUUCUUCUCCCCGAAGGCCCCCAGUACAUAAUUGUAUACUCUAGUUGUAGGUCCUUCUGGCUCUGCUAUGUGAGAUGCUGCCUCAGCAUGACCUGACGAGUGGUGCUAGGUCCGCUCCCAGGAUCCAAAGCUACGAAACCCUGGGCCACCCACGUGGAAUGUGCGAACUUAACCACUCGGCCUUGGGGCCGCCCCACCCCCCCCCAGUUAAUUUCUUAAUUUAGGAUUGUGUCCCAUGAAGGAAGUCAAUGGCAAAGUCUGGCAUUGGAUUGGGUUUUCAGUUUCUCUAAGAUAACUUUUUCUUCUUAACCAUAAUUCCUAAUAAAUAACAACAUUCCUUAUUCCUUCCCUAAACUGGUGGCAAAGUUUAGGUAGUCCCUAUUUAACAGUUAGAGUAGACCUUACCAGGUUCUGUCUUUGUUAAAGCCCUACCUCUCGUCCCCAUUUGGAUGCUAAAAUCUCAGCCUUCAAUCUUUAAGGCCUAUAUGCUAUUUCAACCUCCUACCACAUAGAAUCCCAUGACUUCAGCUCUUUCUUAUGGCCCCGGCUUGAAAAUUUCUUCUCAUUUUUGCCACUUGAGGAAUUUCUUUCUUUGAGUUAAUUAUAUAUUGAAAAAAAAAGUUUUUACUUCUCCAUCAUUUCUAUGUAAUGUCACAUCAAAAUGCCAAAUGUCAAAACAUGACUUUUGUCAGUUAAUGCCCCAUAUACUCCUUAUAUCGGGUAAAACCAAUAUAUUUGGUUACACAUAGUUAACUUUUUAUUAAUGAUUUAAAAGCAAUGGCAUUGUUGAAAUGCUUUCAAAGUUUAGGCUCUGCUAUGAUCUGAAUGUUUGUGUCCCCCCAAAUGUAUAUGUUGAAAUCCUAAUGCCCAGUGUCAUGGUAUGAAGAAGUGCGGCCUUUGGGGGAUGCUUAGGUCAUGAGGGUGGAACCGUCAUGAAUGGCAUAGUGCUCUUAUGAAAGAAACUCCACAGAGAUCUUCACCCCUUCCACCAUGUGAGGAUACAAUGAGAAGCCUGUGACCCGGAAGAGGGCCCCACUCAACUGUGCUAGCACCCUAAUCUUGGACUUCCAGCCUCCAGAACUGUGAGAAAUAGAUUUCUAUUAUUUAUAAGCCACCUAGACUAUCAUACUUUGUUACAGCAGUCCAAACUGACUAAGACAGGCUCCGUAGACAAUCUUCUUAAAUAUCUAUGAUGGAAAAUCCAAUUUUGGUGUUAAAUGAACUUUAUCAGUAAAAAAAAUUAAAAUAUCAGUUGUAACCUUGUAAAUACACAUGUGCAGACACACAGACACACACACACACAAGCUAAAUUAUAACUAGUUUCAAGUACACCUUAGUUGUCUCCAAGAUUGGGUCCUUGCUCUCCUGCUAAUGUUCACUGAAUUUCUUAACUAGAGAAAAUCAGAAAAUAUCAAUAGUAGCUAAAGUCAUGCUCUGAACAAGUAGGCUUCAAUUCCUCUUAUUUCAUCACUGGACUCCUCCCAAAUAGAGCUUGGCAAGAGUCACUCUGAAAUCAACACAGAAAGUCACAGAAGAACAAAUUGGGGUCAUCUGACUCAUUCCCCUUGUGACUUAAAGUGCAUUUGAACCCACAUUUCCAAAGGGGAAAGUUAGUUAUAAAGUAUUGCAAAUCAACUAAUGUCACUUGUUUCAGUUUCUUUCAAACUUUGAGUCGGAGAGGAGACAAGAUGAAGAAAGAAGAGACAGGAGAAGGAGUACUUUUAAGUAGAACACUUCCAAAUUGCCAAAGUGCUACAAGAAAAAAACCUGUUCACUAGAGGAUCUCACUUUUCCUGUUCUCCCGUAAUAUGGACAAGGUGUUUCUGAGCUUGGGCUCUCCACCUGCGCAGAAUGGAGUUCCUGUAGUGUGGCUCAAGGGCGAGGAAAGAAGAACUAAGCUUCAGAGAGACCACAGCUAUUGUCCUUCUGCCCUGGAAUUCUUUCUGCAACAGUCUCAAGAGUUUCUCUGGGCAUCUGCAGUUGAAACGCAUCCACUGUAAACAAAAUAUCUCAAAAUGGUAGAAUACAUUGGCACGAAAAGAGAAAAAACUUCUUCCUAGGAGAAAUGAUAUGCUAAAACCCUUGGAAGCAUUUAUGUCAUUUAAGAGGGACCAGUGGGUCUAGAGCCUAAGCAAAGAUAUAGUAAGAUUAACAGAAAUUGUCAGCUGGAAACAAGAACUAGAAUAAAAGAUAAAAUUUAAUUCAAAGAAUUUGUACAUCAGCCCUUAGUUAAAGUGCCUUCAGAUGCAUUAGUCCUAAGCUGUCAAAAAUUCAUUGAGCAGCAGACUGGUGAGCUAAUAAAAAUGCGCCUAUUUGCAGGCUGUGAAAGAAGGUAACUCUUCCCUUUUCAUAUCUUAACUGUGGCCUUUCUAUCGUCUACUUAUAUAUGUAAAUCAUUUGACUCUAUUACUAGAGACAUAAUCACCUGAAUUCUCGGACUCCACUGCCCAGAAUUUAUUCCUUUUUAUGAUUUUCUUCUUUAGAUUAUAUAAUAUUCUGCUUAUAUCCUAAUGGUGCAUGUUAAUACACAGAGACAUACCCACAUGUUUACAUAUUCUCAAUAUUAAA